AGCUACGGCCAUAGAACUCAGAUAGCACCGCAUCCCGUCAGCUCUGCGCAGUUAAGCUGAGUGUCGCUCGGUCAGUACCAAGGUCGGGAACGACUUGGGAAAUCCGAGUACUGUAGUUC
rfam:Cryptococcus dejecticola CBS 10117 unplaced genomic scaffold supercont1.10, whole genome shotgun sequence.